AUGAGGCGUAUGAUAUGAGAGGUUGCAAUGACUUAUUGUUGUAAUUUCUUCAUUGUAAUCUCCUGCAAUAUCUGCCCAGAGAAUAAUUUGUGACCUACUACUGGCUAUCACGAUUCAAAUAUGGUUUGCCCUUCGUUUUUCAAACCUUCACCAGUUGCUUUUGCUUGAAAGUUUACGCCCUGAUAGAUUAUGUAUUUUGUCGUGACACUGCAAAUUACUAAAUUAUUUUUUUAGAAACAUAACAAAAUCAUUCAUACUUCUUUGCCUAAUAUUUUAAGCUUUUGGGAUAAUCAGUUCAUGAUAUGGCUUAAGAGCUUGGCCAAGUGCUAUAACAUUUGACCCUCAGCACCCUCUCACCUUCUAUUGUUUUUUUUAAAUUAUUAUGUUUUAGCAUAAGAUAGGCGGUCUUACGUGUUAUUCACGCUUGAAGUGCUAAGAUCUUUUAUGUGAGAGUUUAUUAGAAAUUAUUCACGUGUUUUCACCUAUCAGCUUAAAUUUUGAGAUGUUUGGUUUAUGGCAAUUUCAUGUAUCUCUUUUCCAAUGAGUUGAAUGAGGAUUUUAGAUGUAAAUCAUAUCUUGUUUCAAAAUUAUAUCUUCUUGUUUUCACACUGUCUUGUGCAGAGAUCCCGGAGAAUGUUUAUAUUAAAUAUUUUGGACCAGAGUUCUCAUUGAAGAUUCCAAAUGGGCACAUAUGAAGUGUGUUUGAUGCUUUUGUUAGACUUCACCAAGAUUUGCAAUGGACAAUUGUAACACAGUGAUCAUCUUGAACGUCUUGUAUUUGAGGUUAACCACUGAUGUUAUAGCACCAUCCCCAUGGAAGAUUCACGUGGAAGGGUAAGUUACUCCUAAUUUAGUACGUACUAGGAUCAUAUUGUUUUAAAGCCAAAUGUUAUUCCGACCUUGAUCUCAUUUUAAUAUAGAUGGGAGAGGGCUAAUAAAUCCUAAGGGAUUGUAAUAUUACAAUAAUCUCAUCAAUGAACUAACAAGCCGAGGUUCUUUUGCAAACUAGUUUUACCUUAAAAAGUUCAAUUGGAGUUGUCAGCUGCAGAUUGGGAUCUACCACAACCACUUGAAGACGAAUAUGGAGGAUGAGUUAGUCGAAGAAUUAUGUAUGGUUUGUAAACUAUAAGAUAUAGUUUGUUUUAUUUUAUCUUGUCUUAGAUAGGAGAUCAAAUUAAACAAACUAUAUCUAACACAUUAGAAAAAAAUGUAGUUACUGUAUUUUGUAAAUUGUGAGUAAUUUAUUUUCCCUAAAGUGUAUUUUUACU